rnacentral:rRNA from 1 species
GAUGAACGCUAGCGACAGGCCUAACACAUGCAAGUCGAGGGGCAGCACGAAUCAAGCUUGCUUGAUUUGGUGGCGACCGGCGCACGGGUGCGUAACAGGUGUGCAAUCUGUCCAUAAUCGGGGAAUAGCCCAGCGAAAGUUGGAUUAAUGCUCCAUGUGAGUUUUAGAGGCAUCUCUUUAAUUUGAGACGCAAGGAUUAUGGGUGAGCACGCUUCUGAUUAGGUAGUUGGUGAGGUAACGGCUCACCAAGCCGACGAUCAGUAGGGGUUCUGGGAGGAAGGUCCCCCACAUUGGAACUGAGACACGGUCCAAACUCCUACGGGAGGCAGCAGUGAGGAAUAUUGGUCAAUGGACGAAAGUCUGAACCAGCCAAGUCGCGUGAAGGAUGAAGGUUCUAUGGAUUGUAAACUUCUUUUGUCUGAGGGUAAAAAAGCGGACGUGUCCGUUCUUGCGAGUAUCAGACGAAUAAGCAUCGGCUAACUCCGUGCCAGCAGCCGCCGUAAUAC